UACGUAGGGUGCGAGCGUUGUCCGGAAUUAUUGGGCGUAAAGAGCUCGUAGGCGGUCUGUCGCGUCUGCUGUGAAAACUCGGGGCUUAACUCCGGGCCUGCAGUGGGUACGGGCAGACGUAGAGUGCGGUAGGGGAGACUGGAAUUCCUGGUGUAGCGGUGAAAUGCGCAGAUAUCAGGAGGAACACCGGUGGCGAAGGCGGGUCUCUGGGCCGUAACUGACGCUGAGGAGCGAAAGCGUGGGGAGCGAACAGG
rnacentral:rRNA from 1 species